UUGAACGCUGGCGGCAGGCCUAACACAUGCAAGUCGAACGGUAACAGGAAACAGCUUGCUGUUUCGCUGACGAGUGGCGGACGGGUGAGUAAUGUCUGGGAAACUGCCUGAUGGAGGGGGAUAACUACUGGAAACGGUAGCUAAUACCGCAUAAUGUCGCAAGACCAAAGAGGGGGACCUUCGGGCCUCUUGCCAUCGGAUGUGCCCAGAUGGGAUUAGCUAGUAGGUGGGGUAACGGCUCACCUAGGCGACGAUCCCUAGCUGGUCUGAGAGGAUGACCAGCCACACUGGAACUGAGACACGGUCCAGACUCCUACGGGAGGCAGCAGUGGGGAAUAUUGCACAAUGGGCGCAAGCCUGAUGCAGCCAUGCCGCGUGUAUGAAGAAGGCCUUCGGGUUGUAAAGUACUUUCAGCGGGGAGGAAGGGAGUAAAGUUAAUACCUUUGCUCAUUGACGUUACCCGCAGAAGAAGCACCGGCUAACUCCGUGCCAGCAGCCGCGGUAAUACGGAGGGUGCAAGCGUUAAUCGGAAUUACUGGGCGUAAAGCGCACGCAGGCGGUUUGUUAAGUCAGAUGUGAAAUCCCCGGGCUCAACCUGGGAACUGCAUCUGAUACUGGCAAGCUUGAGUCUCGUAGAGGGGGGUAGAAUUCCAGGUGUAGCGGUGAAAUGCGUAGAGAUCUGGAGGAAUACCGGUGGCGAAGGCGGCCCCCUGGACGAAGACUGACGCUCAGGUGCGAAAGCGUGGGGAGCAAACAGGAUUAGAUACCCUGGUAGUCCACGCCGUAAACGAUGUCGACUUGGAGGUUGUGCCCUUGAGGCGUGGCUUCCGGAGCUAACGCGUUAAGUCGACCGCCUGGGGAGUACGGCCGCAAGGUUAAAACUCAAAUGAAUUGACGGGGGCCCGCACAAGCGGUGGAGCAUGUGGUUUAAUUCGAUGCAACGCGAAGAACCUUACCUGGUCUUGACAUCCACAGAACUUUCCAGAGAUGGAUUGGUGCCUUCGGGAACUGUGAGACAGGUGCUGCAUGGCUGUCGUCAGCUCGUGUUGUGAAAUGUUGGGUUAAGUCCCGCAACGAGCGCAACCCUUAUCCUUUGUUGCCAGCGGUCCGGCCGGGAACUCAAAGGAGACUGCCAGUGAUAAACUGGAGGAAGGUGGGGAUGACGUCAAAUCAUCACGCCCCUUACAUCUUGGGCUACACACGUGCUACAAUGGCGCAUACAAAGAGAAGCGACCUCGCGAGAGCAAGCGGACCUCAUAAAGUGCGUCGUAGUCCGGAUUGGAGUCUGCAACUCGACUCCAUGAAGUCGGAAUCGCUAGUAAUCGUGGAUCAGAAUGCCACGGUGAAUACGUUCCCGGGCCUUGUACACACCGCCCGUCACACCAUGGGAGUGGGUUGCAAAAGAAGUAGGUAGCUUAACCUUCGGGAGGGCGCUUACCACUUUGUGAUUCAUGACUGGGGUG
rnacentral:rRNA from 1 species